CGUUUCUGGCUCCUCCAGUUGGGCAGGGUUAAUGAUCUAGCUAAGGGGCAGAUGCACAGGAAGAUGGGACCGCCCCAAGGAAGAUGAGUUUGCCUUAAGCCAUGCUACAGAGAUAGGAGGACUAAUUUAUCCCUUUAGUAAGAAUCCAGACUAUUAAAGGCAAGAAGCUGGCCCUGUGGCACCAGCACUUGUGAUGCAGAGGCAGAAGGAUCAGGAGUUCAAAGCCAUCAGCUGAAAGUGAAGUCAACUUAGAAAUUCUGGUUGUGCGAGACUACAGUUAAAACAACAACAACAACAACAACAACAACAACAACAACAGAUUCUUACUGUGUAGCCCUGGCUGGCCUAUAACUCCUAUGUAGACCAGGCUGGCCUCGAACUCACAGAUUGGCCUGCCUCUGCCUUCUGUGUUCUGGGUUUAAAGGUGUGUGCUACCGUGCUGGGUUCAAAUGU